GUGACUUACUGAAUAUCUGCUUUUAUUUUGGGUGUUCAAAAGGGUCAAUAUAAGCGGAAGAAUUGGCUUUAUCUUGAUUUGUACACUGACGACAAUAAAUUUAAAGUGACUUACUGAAUAUCUGCUUUUAUUUUGGGUGUUCAAAAGGGUCAAUAUAAGCGGAAGAAUUGGCUUUAUCUUGAUUUGUACACUGACGACAAUAAAUUUAAAGUGACUUACUGAAUAUCUGCUUUUAUUUUGGGUGUUCAAAAGGGUCAAUAUAAGCGGAAGAGUUGGCUUUAUCUUGAUUUGUACACUGACGACAAUAAAUUUAAAGUGACUUACUGAAUAUCUGCUUUUAUUUUGGGUGUUCAAAAGGGUCAAUAUAAGCGGAAGAAUUGGCUUUAUCUUGAUUUGUACACUGACGACAAUAAAUUUAAAGCUCGAUACUUGGCCAAUUCCGGGUUCACAAAGCUCGAUAAAUUUUCAAGUGGCUUGGAGAUUAUGGUGGCCACUAGAGG
rnacentral:sRNA from 1 species